rnacentral:misc_RNA from 1 species
ACUUGGCAUAAGUUGGGUGCAAAAAUAUGUUGAUUUACAUCUUGUAGGUCUGUUAGAUCUCAUUUUUUUUUUAUGGUUAAGUCAAUUAGGAUCAUUAAAUAAAUGGCUUUCUGUUUGUUUUCAAAUUUAUUUUAGGACUUUUUUCAUAAGCACCGUCAACUUUGCAUUAAUCCAUAGUACUUAAACAAUCCUAAAGUCUAGGUGAAGUAGAAAUAUGAAUUUUGCUUGUAAAAAACUUUUG